rnacentral:rRNA from 1 species
ACCCAGACUCCUACGGGAGGCAGCAGUGGGGAAUAUUGCACAAUGGGGGAAACCCUGAUGCAGCGACGCCGCGUGAGUGAAGAAGUAUUUCGUUAUGUAAAGCUCUCUCAGCAGGGAAGAAAAUGACGGUACCUGAGUAAGAAGCCCCGGCUAACUACGUGCCAGCAGCCGCGGUAAUACGUAGGGGGCAAGCGUUAUCCGGAUUUACUGGGUGUAAAGGGAGCGUAGACGGCAGUGCAAGUCUGGAGUGAAAGGCGGGGGCUCAACCCCCGGACUGCUCUGGAAACUGUACGGCUGGAGUGCAGGAGAGGUAAGUGGAAUUCCUAGUGUAGCGGUGAAAUGCGUAGAUAUUAGGAGGAACACCAGUGGCGAAGGCGGCUUACUGGACUGUAACUGACGUCGAGGCUCGAAAGCGUGGGGAGCAAACAGGAUUAGAUACCCCAGUA